AUGGAGAGUUUGAUCCUGGCUCAGGAUGAACGCUAGCGGCAGGCCUAAUACAUGCAAGUCGAACGGUGGCAGCAAUGCCAUAGUGGCGCACGGGUGCGUAACGCGUAACCAACCUGCCCUUGACUGGGGGAUAGCCCGCCGAAAGGCGGAUUAAUACCGCAUAAAACAAGGUGGCGGCAUCGUCUCUUUGUUAAAGAUUUAUUGGUCAAGGAUGGGGUUGCGUAGCAUUAGCUAGUUGGCGGGGUAACGGCCCACCAAGGCGACGAUGCUUAGGGGAGCUGAGAGGCUGGUCCCCCACACGGGCACUGAGAUACGGGCCCGACUCCUACGGGAGGCAGCAGUAGGGAAUAUUGGGCAAUGGGAGCAAUCCUGACCCAGCCAUGCCGCGUGCAGGAUGAAGGCUUUCUGAGUCGUAAACUGCUUUUGCCAGGGAAGAAUAAGGCCCAUGCGUGGGUCGACGACGGUACCUGGUGAAUAAGCACCGGCUAACUCCGUGCCAGCAGCCGCGGUAAUACGGAGGGAGCUAGCGUUAUUCGGAAUUACUGGGCGUAAAACGCACGUAGGCGGCUUUGUAAGUUAGAGGUGAAAGCCUGGAGCUCAACUCCAGAAUUGCCUUUAAGACUGCAUCGCUUGAAUCCAGGAGAGGUGAGUGGAAUUCCGAGUGUAGAGGUGAAAUUCGUAGAUAUUCGGAAGAACACCAGUGGCGAAGGCGGCUCACUGGACUGGUAUUGACGCUGAGGUGCGAAAGCGUGGGGAACAAA
rnacentral:rRNA from 1 species